rnacentral:ncRNA from 1 species
GGUUAAGCGACUAAGCGUACACGGUGGAUGCCCUGGCAGUCAGAGGCGAUGAAGGACGUGCUAAUCUGCGAUAAGCGUCGGUAAGGUGAUAUGAACCGUUAUACCCGACGAUUUCCGAAUGGGGAAACCCAGUGUGUUUCGACACACUAUCAUUACGUGAAUACAUAGCGUAAUGAAGCGAACCGGGGGAACUGAAACAUCUAAGUACCCCGAGGAAAAGAAAUCAACCGAGAUUCCCCCAGUAGCGGCGAGCGAACGGGGAACAGCCCAGAGUCUGAAUCAGCGUGUGUGUUAGUGGAAGCGUCUGGAAAGUCGCACGAUACAGGGUGAAAGUCCCGUACACAAAAAUGCACACGCUGUGAACUCGAAGAGUAGGGCGGGACACGUGGUAUCCUGUCUGAAUAUGGGGGGACCAUCCUCCAAGGCUAAAUACUCCUGACUGACCGAUAGUGAACCAGUACCGUGAGGGAAAGGCGAAAAGAACCCCGGCGAGGGGAGUGAAACAGAACCUGAAACCGUGUACGUACAAGCAGUGGGAGCCUCUUUAUGGGGUGACUGCGUACCUUUUGUAUAAUGGGUCAGCGACUUAUAUUCUGUAGCAAGGUUAACCGUAUAGGGGAGCCGAAGGGAAACCGAGUCUUAACUGGGCGUUAAGUUGCAGGGUAUAGACCCGAAACCCGGUGAUCUAGCCAUGGGCAGGUUGAAGGUUGGGUAACACUAACUGGAGGACCGAACCGACUAAUGUUGAAAAAUUAGCGGAUGACCUGUGGCUGGGGGUGAAAGGCCAAUCAAACCGGGAGAUAGCUGGUUCUCCCCGAAAGCUAUUUAGGUAGCGCCUCGUGAACUCAUCUUCGGGGGUAGAGCACUGUUUCGGCUAGGGGGCCAUCCCGGCUUACCAACCCGAUGCAAACUGCGAAUACCGAAGAAUGUUAUCACGGGAGACACACGGCGGGUGCUAACGUCCGUCGUGAAGAGGGAAACAACCCAGACCGCCAGCUAAGGUCCCAAAGUCAUGGUUAAGUGGGAAACGAUGUGGGAAGGCACAGACAGCCAGGAUGUUGGCUUAGAAGCAGCCAUCAUUUAAAGAAAGCGUAAUAGCUCACUGGUCGAGUCGGCCUGCGCGGAAGAUGUAACGGGGCUAAACCAUGCACCGAAGCUGCGGCAGCGACGCUUAUGCGUUGUUGGGUAGGGGAGCGUUCUGUAAGCCGUUGAAGGUGUGCUGUGAGGCAUGCUGGAGGUAUCAGAAGUGCGAAUGCUGACAUAAGUAACGAUAAAGCGGGUGAAAAACCCGCUCGCCGGAAGACCAAGGGUUCCUGUCCAACGUUAAUCGGGGCAGGGUGAGUCGACCCCUAAGGCGAGGCCGAAAGGCGUAGUCGAUGGGAAACAGGUUAAUAUUCCUGUACUUGGUGUUACUGCGAAGGGGGGACGGAGAAGGCUAUGUUGGCCGGGCGACGGUUGUCCCGGUUUAAGC